UCUGGUUGAUCCUGCCAGUAGUUAUAUGCUUGUCUCAAAGAUUAAGCCAUGCAUGUCUAAGUACACACGAAUUAAAAGUGAAACCGCAAAAGGCUCAUUAUAUCAGUUAUGGUUCCUUAGAUCGUUAACAGUUACUUGGAUAACUGUGGUAAUUCUAGAGCUAAUACAUGCAAUUAAAACAUGAACCUUAUGGGACAUGUGCUUUUAUUAGGCUAAAACCAAGCGAUCGCAAGAUCGUUAUAUUGGUUGAACUCUAGAUAACAUGCAGAUCGUAUGGUCUUGUACGACGACAGAUCUUUCAAAUGUCUGCCCUAUCAACUUUUGAUGGUAGUAUCUAGGACUACCAUGGUUGCAACGGGUAACGGGAAUCAGGGUUCGAUUCCGGAGAGGGAGCCUGAGAAACGGCUACCACAUCUAAGGAAGGCAGCAGGCGCGUAAUUACCCACUCCAGCUCGGGGAGGUAGUGACGAAAAAUAACAAUACAGGACUCAUAUCCGAGGCCUGUAAUUGGAAUGAGUACACUUUAAAUCCUUUACAAGGACCAAUUGAGGGCAAGUCUGGUGCCAGCAGCGCGUAAUUCCAGCUCCAAUAGCGUAUAUUAAAGUUGUUGCGGUUAAAACGUUCGUAGUUGAACUUGUGCUUCAUACGGGUAGUACAACUUACAAUUGUGGUUAGUACUAUAGUCAUGUAUACCCUUACAUACCCUCUUAUUAGAUUAAGUUAUGUUAGAAUACACAUGGCGCUAAGCUUUUUGUCUGAGCUUAGCUUUAUUUUUAGUCAGUAGACAAGAAGACCUCGAUCUGUACACAUCAUUGAAUAAACCCUCAAUUUGUUAAGCGAAACCUUUCGUUUUGUUUUAACCCCUCUUUAAUCGCAACAAAGAAGUCGAUGGGUGCUUAACUGAGGAGUUCAACCUCCAACCUACAGACGACAACGAAGUCGUUUCUGGAGGCAACGAUCUUUUGGACACAACGGUCUCUGCUCGGAAGGCCAUCAACCUUCCACAUAACUGGCGACGAGGAUCAACACAGAAAAAAUAAGGAAACAGCCAUACGUCAAGAAAUUCAUUCGAGAACCACAGUAAGCUGUUCUUAUGUAAUUUAAGUCCGGAAAUUUCAAUACGUUAACCAAUGCACGUGGCCGAGUAUAAAGAGGAACAAAACAUAACUGGAAAGCUUUGAACACCUGCAUGUACGGAGUGACGAAACCCAACCUGGAGAAGAAGAACUUAAGCUGAUAAAUUUUUUUUUCUUCGACAAAGCUCUUAUACUAGCUAAGAUAAGAAACUAAAAGCUAACUAUUAAUACUUGCGAACCUCGAGAGAAAACAAAG
rnacentral:rRNA from 1 species